rnacentral:rRNA from 1 species
GAUGAACGCUGGCGGCGUGCUUAACACAUGCAAGUCGAACGAUGAAGCCCAGCUUGCUGGGUGGAUUAGUGGCGAACGGGUGAGUAACACGUGAGUAACCUGCCCUUAACUCUGGGAUAAGCCUGGGAAACUGGGUCUAAUACCGGAUAGGAGCGUCCACCGCAUGGUGGGUGUUGGAAAGAUUUAUCGGUUUUGGAUGGACUCGCGGCCUAUCAGCUUGUUGGUGAGGUAAUGGCUCACCAAGGCGACGACGGGUAGCCGGCCUGAGAGGGUGACCGGCCACACUGGGACUGAGACACGGCCCAGACUCCUACGGGAGGCAGCAGUGGGGAAUAUUGCACAAUGGGCGCAAGCCUGAUGCAGCGACGCCGCGUGAGGGAUGACGGCCUUCGGGUUGUAAACCUCUUUCAGUAGGCAAGAGGCGAAAGUGACGGUACCUGCAGAAGAAGCACCGGCUAACUACGUG